UGGACACAGGUCUCCUCAGGAGAGAGUCCUCGUCGCUCGGCCUAUGGACCUGCGGAGUCCUACAAGAGGGGAGCAGCAAUGGACCAGCGUGGCCUCCGCAAUGGAGGGAGAGAAGAACUCGUACUCCCUCCGUGAUCUUGAUCCUCAGAGACCAGAGAAAGGAAGACACAGCAACUCAUGCCCAGAUGUUUCCCAGAGUUGUUGGAUGAUGGCUCUAUGACUACUGUCUACUUGUGACCUCUAGUCAACCAAAAUGGAAAAAAAAAAGUUUGGCUUUGAGAACAAGUUUAUAAUUCAUUUGUCUUAUUUCACAAUACUCACAGCUUCAGUAAAACACGUGGAUGAAGUGAGUCCUCCCCUUUCCUAUAGUGCCAUGGUCAAGUGUGAGGGUCUUGGAGCCAGU